CCUACGGCGGGCAGCAGUGGGGAAUAUUGGGCAAUGGGCGCAAGCCUGACACAGCAACGCCGCGUGAAGGAAGAAGGCUUUCGGGUUGUAAACUUCUUUUAAGAGGGAAGAGCAGAAGACGGUACCUCUUGAAUAAGCCACGGCUAACUACGUGCCAGCAGCCGCGGUAAUACGUAGGUGGCAAGCGUUGUCCGGAUUUACUGGGUGUAAAGGGCGUGCAGCCGGGAAGACAAGUCAGAUGUGAAAGCCCGCGGCUCAACCGCGGAACUGCAUUUGAAACUGUUUUUCUUGAGUACCGGAGAGGUCAUCGGAAUUCCUUGUGUAGCGGUGAAAUGCGUAGAUAUAAGGAAGAACACCAGUGGCGAAGGCGGAUGACUGGACGGCAACUGACGGUGAGGCGCGAAAGCGUGGGGAGCAAACAGGAUUAGAUACCCUUGUAGUC
rnacentral:rRNA from 1 species